rnacentral:tRNA from 1 species
UGUAGCUCAGUGGUAGAGUGCUUGCCUAGCAAGUGUGAGGCCCUGGGUUCGAUCCUCAGCA